AAUGAACGCUGGCGGCAGGCCUAACACAUGCAAGUCGAACGAGGCAGCAAUGCCUAGUGGCGGACGGGUGAGUAACGCGUGGGAACGUGUCCCUUGGUACGGAAUAGCCCUGGGAAACUGGGAGUAAUACCGUAUGUGGUCGAGAGACGAAAGAUUUAUCGCCAAGGGAUCGGCCCGCGUUGGAUUAGGUAGUUGGUGGGGUAAUGGCCUACCAAGCCGACGAUCCAUAGCUGGUUUGAGAGGAUGAUCAGCCACACUGGGACUGAGACACGGCCCAGACUCCUACGGGAGGCAGCAGUGGGGAAUCUUAGACAAUGGGGGAAACCCUGAUCUAGCCAUGCCGCGUGAUCGAUGAAGGUCUUAGGGUUGUAAAGAUCUUUCAGUGGGGAAGAUAAUGACGGUACCCACAGAAGAAGCCCCGGCUAACUCCGUGCCAGCAGCCGCGGUAA
rnacentral:rRNA from 1 species